GCCAACAAAAAAUAUGCGUGUUAUGCGACUGAUAGGUGCCUUGCGCAUUACACAUCAAGAUCAAGAUUUUUUUUCCGAGUCAACAAUGGCCUCGUUGUUCUGACAGUCUCCACGGCAGGCACACAACUCGGUGCAGCAAAGGUGGUUCAGCAGGCAGUGGCACUUAUUGGAUUGUCGGCAGUCACGGGUCCCUGUAGGUGAAGCCGGAACGAAGAUUUCUGUAGAACCUCAUGACUCCCCACAAAGACAGAAUCUGUGGAGAGAGAUGGAGGGAGUUUAACUUUCAUGAGGGAAGAGGCAGCAAGUUCAGUGGGAGCCGAGCGGCCAAGGUCUGGGGGACGUGGAGGUGACACGCCAUCUACCGGGAGCGUCGCCCCAACCCUCAGUACGGUACUUGAAGACCUGGAUCGUAUCUCCACACAAGCUUCUCUUUUUCAGCGUGAAGAGGUUGAGCUGCUUAAAUCCUUCCUCAUACUGUUGAGCCCUUAAGGAUAGAAUCAUUUUUGUAGCUCAUUGCUGAACCCUUUCCAGUAAUGCAAUGUCCUUCCUGUAAUUUGGGGACCAAAACUGUACUGUAAAUUGUAGUCUUAUUAUUGAAUUAUACAGGGGCAACAUUGCUUCUGGCAAUUUACACUUGAAGUUCCUUUAUGCCACCGUUGACUAUUGACUGAUUACAAUGGGAAGCCUCGAAGUGGUGCAUUUUACCGAUUAUAAAACCUGUGUUAAUAUUGGAAUUGCUCGUAAAAAUGAUGAAUCCCAAAUUUGGUGGUGGUACCGUCCCAACAAAUAAUCCUGCAAUGAUAUUUGAAUUCCUAUACAGUAGAAAGUUAUGUAUGAAAUUUUCAGUAGCAAUAAUGUUUAUAUGCAAAAGGAAAAAGUAUUAGAUCCUCACUGUUAAAUACUGACGAGGUUGGUAUACUCUACCUUUGGGUCUUGUUAUUCAAGGAAACAGUGCAGCAGAGAUGUUAAGAGAGCUUUCUUGGAGCACCUGCAUGAUGCCCUUCUGUUCCAGGCUUGGUGUCAUGUAUACAGUAAAAGCCAGGAUGGAGGUAGUAUAGUUUUGUGGAAACAGAAUUGUGGUAAAUAAAGUUACUUUCAAUUGAUUAGUGUAUGCCUGGUGUGUCAAGCAGUCAAGAGGAACUUGAAUGUAGUUUUUGUUGGUCACUCCUUUUUCUGAUUAGAACCUCUUGAUAAUGAUGUUCUGUUCCAAGGAGAGGUUUAUUACACUGUCUGCCCACAGACGUCACCCAGUGUAGUGCAGCGACUUGCCUGAUGGGUGAGCCUCCCAUAACUCACUCUGUGAGGGGGGUACCUCAUUGGCCGACUGGUUAAGUAGUGGCUCUCCCGUCUCGCUGGUUGCGAGUUCAAUCCCCAUUGCUGGCAAAACCUUUCCUUGUCUGGAUUAAUUUCUCGUGUGUUUCUUUACAUGCAGAGGUUGUGUGGGAGUGUAGUAAAAAGAGAAAAUUCUAGUGUUUCACCAGUGUAAUUACACUGUCUGCCCACAGACCCCCCCACCCAGUGCACCUGAUUCCUGUGUACACAUUUGUACCAGGUGUGCAAUAGUGAGUGCACUGCUACAUAUAUUUUUUCAAAGGAUCAGUCCGGCCAACAUGUAGUGUCCAGACUGGUAGGCAUUGAAUGCUGAAGCAUGAUUUCAAUUACUAUUUUGUAUGCAUCUUACCUUUUUUUCCAUUCCAUUAGGCUGGAAUAUGAAAAGUAAAGAGUAUAUCAUUUUUAUUAAGAUAAAGUAUCAUAGCAAAUAUAGCAAACUACACAAACUUCAAAAUGAAAAAUAACAAUUUCACAGUGAUUCCUUUAUUCUCUUCAAGUCCAAUAACUAUAACUACUAUAUCUUAUUUAAAAACAAAAUAUUUUUAACAUAAACACACACUACUACAACAGAGAAUAGGAGAGCAACUCUUGUACUUAACAGCGUGACAACAUAGUUCGACAGAUACUAAUUUGAACAGUAACAAGAGACGUUCUGCUGGGUGCCUGUGCUUGCAUUCCCUCAGUGUUUCAUGUUCUCUUGGUAAAAUGUAGGGAAAAAAGGGGGGCAGUGUGGAAUUCUUCAAUCUGUUACAUAAGAGGGCAGCACUAUUAAAUAGCUCCACCAUGCUUUAUCAUUAUACUUGACUCUUUAUUCCCUCUUUCUAAGUACAUAUUGAGUACACAAGUCUCAUGGGAGCAUCCUAUCAUUUUGAAAUUUUUCAUACCUGGAGAGUAAAAGGGGAAGGAUGAAUGGAAACAUGCAGAAUCAUGAAUUUAGAGAACAUGACGACAAAGUUUUGGGAUUAAUGUUAUGUUGAAAGAUGAGUGUGCAGCUGUUGGCAUACACCUCUUUCAGACAUCUACGUCUGCUGUGGACAGCACAAUGUUGGAGGUUCCUGAGAGCGCCAUUAAGCACAUGACUUAUGUUUCAAAUAACAAGGCACAACCUGAAGCAGUGUCCUUGCCCUCAGUUGGCUCUGGAUAGUCAUCAUAGAUAUUCACACUCAUUUGUUGUAAUUGGACUGUUUGUAUGUCAAGGAUCAAGGAUUUUUUUUUUUUUUUCAGUUACUUUAGGGUGUCAGUAGUAAAUUUCCAUGAGCUGUUUGAUUGAGGGAAUCUACUUCUUAAGCAGAGGUAGCAAAAGGAGAUAUGCCAUCCCAUCAACUGAAAAAC